GAUGAACGCUGGCUGCGUGCCUAAUACAUGCAAGUCGAGCGAAGCGGGGACGGGUGAGUAACACGUGGAUAACCUCCUAUAAGACUGGGAUAACUUCGGGUAACCGGAGCUAAACCGGAUACUUAUACAUGGUUCCGCGCUGCAUUAGCUAGUUGGUAAGGUAACGGCUUACCAAGGCAACGAUGCAUAGCCGACCUGAGAGGGUGAUCGGCCACACCGGAACUGAGACACGGUCCAGAAUCCGACGGGAGGCAGAAGUGGGGAAUAUUCCGAAAUGGGCGAAAGCCUGACGGAGCAACGGCGCGUGAGUGAAGAAGGUCUUCGGAUCGUAAAGCACUGUUAGUAGGGAAGCGGUACCUAAUCAGAAAGCCACGGCUAACUACGUGCCAGCAGCCGCGGUAAUUC
rnacentral:rRNA from 1 species